rnacentral:misc_RNA from 1 species
UCUCCGUUGGUGAACCAGCGGAGGGAUCAUUACCGAGUGUAAAAACUCCCAAACCAUUGUGAACCUACCACUGUUGCUUCGGCGGCCUCGCCCCGGGCGCGUUCGCGCGGCCCGGACCCAGGCGUCCGCCGGAGGUCUUAAACCCUGAAUUCUAGUGUAUCUCUGAGGAUGAAAAAAAACCAAUUAAAACUUUCAACAACGGAUCUCUUGGCUCUG